CCUACGGGGGGCAGCAGUGAGGAAUAUUGGUCAAUGGCCGCAAGUCUGAACCAGCCAUGCCGCGUGCAGGAAGACGGCUCUAUGAGUUGUAAACUGCUUUUGUACGAGGGUAAAUCCCGAUACGUGUAUCUGGUUGAGAGUAUCGUACGAAUAAGCAUCGGCUAACUCCGUGCCAGCAGCCGCGGUAAUACGGAGGAUUCAAGCGUUAUCCGGAUUUAUUGGGUUUAAAGGGUUCGUAGGCGGAAUAGCAAGUCAGCGGUAAAAAUUCGGGGCUCAACCCCGUCGUGCCGUUGAAACUGAAGUUCUGGAGUGGGCGAGAAGUAUGCGGAAUGCGUGGUGUAGCGGUGAAAUGCAUAGAUAUCACGCAGAACUACGAUUGCGAAGGCAGCAUACCGGCGCCCAACUGACGCUGAAGCACGAAAGCGUGGGUAUCGAACAGGAUUAGAUACCCCUGUAGUC
rnacentral:rRNA from 1 species